rnacentral:rRNA from 1 species
UGUUAGCGGCGGACGGGUGAGUAACGCGUGGGAACGUACCUUUUGCUUCGGAAUAGCCUCGGGAAACUGGGAGUAAUACCGGAUGUGCUCUUCGGAGGAAAGAUUUAUCGGCAAAAGAUCGGCCCGCGUUGGAUUAGGUAGUUGGUGGGGUAAUGGCCUACCAAGCCGACGAUCCAUAGCUGGUUUGAGAGGAUGAUCAGCCACACUGGGACUGAGACACGGCCCAGACUCCUACGGGAGGCAGCAGUGGGGAAUCUUAGACAAUGGGCGCAAGCCUGAUCUAGCCAUGCCGCGUGAUCGAUGAAGGCCUUAGGGUUGUAAAGAUCUUUCGUGGGGGAAGAUAAUGACUGUACCCCAAGAAGAAGCCCCGGCUAACUCCGUGCCAGCAGCCGCGGUAAUACGGAGGGGGCUAGCGUUGUUCGGAAUUACUGGGCGUAAAGCGCACGUAGGCGGACUUGAAAGUCAGAGGUGAAAUCCCAGGGCUCAACCUUGGAACUGCCUUUGAAA